UACGGGGGGGCAAGCGUUGUUCGGAAUUACUGGGCGUAAAGGGCUCGUAGGCGGCCAACUAAGUCGGAUGUGAAAUCCCCAGGCUUAACCUGGGAACUGCAUCCGAUACUGGAUGGCUUGAAUCCGGGAGAGGGAUGCGGAAUUCCAGGUGUAGCGGUGAAAUGCGUAGAUAAUCUGGAGGAACACCGGUGGCGAAGGCGGCAUCCUGG
rnacentral:rRNA from 1 species